GAUGAACGUUUCAACUCUGCCUCGUCACGUUUUCCCUCCAAUUUCAAAUGGCUGAUUAGAGCUAUUCCCUGUGUUCUACUCUAAUUGUGAAAACGUUUUGCUCAAACUAUUUCUCAAGACAAGGUUCUGCAAUGCAAAGUGAACUGAAGUGGAGAAAGACAAUGUGUGUUUGGAAAACUUUAAGCCAAGCUUUGUGAAAUGCUUGGUAGACAUGCAUAAACUGAAGAGGCACACCCCAUUGGCUCAUUGCCAACAUCAAUAAUAACCCAGCUUUCUUCAACAGCUUCCAUCAAAUUCAUGAAGAAUACCAAAGAGCUGAAAAGUACAGCUUAUUUUUACAGAACCUCCUUCCAUUUCCGUGGAGAAGUCAUCUUCAAUAUUCCUGUCAUGAAAACGUCAAGUGUACUCCAACAACUGGAACAAGUGGCCCUAUCAUCAUCUACUAG